UACGGGGGGAGCAAGCGUUGUUCGGAUUUACUGGGCGUAAAGGGCGCGUAGGCGGCCACCGCAAGUCAGUUGUGAAAUCUCUGGGCUUAACCCAGAAAGGUCAACUGAUACUGCGGGGCUAGAGUGCAGAAGGGGCAACUGGAAUUCUCGGUGUAGCGGUGAAAUGCGUAGAUAUCGAGAGGAACACCUGCGGCGAAGGCGGGUUGCUGGGCUGACACUGACGCUGAGGCGCGAAAGCUAGGGGAGCGAACGGG
rnacentral:rRNA from 1 species